CAAAAACAUCUCUCACAGCAAUUAUUGUAAGUACUGCCUGCCCUUUGUAUUUUAACGGCCGCNNNNNNUUUACUGUGCUAAGGUAGCAUAAUCACUAGUUCUUUAAUUGAGAACUCGAAUGAAAGGCAAAACGAGAUUAUUCCUCUCUACCUUUCUCUAAUUAAAAUUAUAUUAAGUAUAAAAAUAUGCUUAUAAAUAUAAAAGACGACAAGACCCUAUUAAACUUUACAUUUGUUUUACUGGGACAGUAUACAAAUAAUUAUUUUAUUUAAUACCCUUCAAUGAACCCAUACAAUAGGAUUAACCAAGCUACUAUAGGGAUAACAGCGUUAAUUUUUAUAAAAGUUCUUAUUAAAUAAAAUUUUUGCGACCUCGAUGUUGAAUUAAUUUACCUAUUUUACGCAAUAGUCCUAACAGUUGGUCUGUUCGACCAGUUAUAAAUUACAUGAUCUGAGUUCAAACCGG
rnacentral:rRNA from 1 species